GUGCUCACUUCGGCAGCACAUAUACUAAAAUUGGAAGGAUACAGAGAAGAUUAG
rnacentral:snRNA from 1 species